rnacentral:piRNA from 1 species
UGAGGAGUGUUACUGGUGAUGUUAAC